AUCCCGGCCCCUCCUCCGCCAGCCGCGUCCUCCCGGGCUUGGUGAGGAACUGUUCCUGGAGGAGCCGCGGGACGCCAAAACCAGCCAAUGGGAAGCGGCGAUUCGCGGAGAUUGGCACUGAUGAUGGGAAGGUCGGUGGGAAGGAGAGCGGCGGGGCUGGGCUGUCAAUCAAACAAUGAUAAGGAAACUAAACUGGAUUAAGUGCUAUCAUCUUGGAGGUGCAAAGGCAAACAAGGAGAAAGAAGUGAUUGAAGAGCACUUCAGAAAGCUUGGUACAUUCAAAUCAGCAGGGCUUGAUUACUCGCAUCCCAGGACACUUAAGGAAUUGGCAAAUAUAAUUGCAAGACCACCAGCCUUUAUUUUAGAAAAUGAAGGUUGGACAGAAGAAGGUCCUGACAAGUAAAAUCAGCAGAUGGAGUACCUGUUUUUUAAAAGAGGGAAAAGGACAGCUGUAGUAAUUAUAGACUAUUCAGUUUAUCUUGGAUACCUGGGAAGAUACAAGAGCAAAUCAUCAAACAAUCAAUUUGCAACCACCUAGAAGAGUACAAGCUACUGGGUCGUAAUCAACGUGAUUUUGUGAAGUGCAAAUUAUGCCACACCAAUUUAAUUUUAUCUAUGAUAGAGUGAUGAGCCUGGCAGAAGAGGGGAAAGCAAUAUCUACAACUGGACUUCAAUAAGGAAUAUUGAUCUCAGCGUUACUUUGACCAUUAAUGAAUUAUGAUGGCAAUAAGCAAAGAUUCGCACCUCUAGCCUCCGGGGAGCUUAAUCUUCUGCUACAACAUUUGCAUUUGGUGUCUCUCUACUGCUCAGGCUGGAGUGCAGUGGUGCGAUCAUAGCUCACUGCAGCCUCGACUUCCUGGGCUCAGGUGACCCUCUCGCCUGAAACCAUAUUCCCCCUCAAGUAGCUGAGACUACAGGUACGUACCACCACACCCAACUAAUUGUUAUUUUUUGUGGAGACGGGAUCUUGCUUUGUUGCCCAGGCUGGUCUUGAAUUCCUGGCCUCAUGCGACCCUCCCUCUGCCUCCCAAUGCACUGGGAGCCACCGUGCCCAGCCCUGUAUUUCUUUUACAAGUGAUGUUUUAGCAUAAUUCUGUGAAGCCCAGGGAACAGAUUCUGUAUGAUUUCAGUAAUGUGAUAGUUCAGACUUGCUUUGUUGUCCAGCAUACAUCAAUUUCAUAAAUGUUCCAAAUACACUUGAAAAGGAAAUGUUUUCUGUGGUUGUUGGUGGGAGUGUUCCUCUUGUCAAUUGUGUCAAGUUUAUUAACCUUGUUCAAGCCUUCUGUAUUGUUAAUGAUUUUCUUAUUUUUUGCUUGUUUUGAGUGUUUGCUUAUUCUAUCAUUUAUUGAGAGAGGGGUGUUAAAAUCUCUCACUGAAAGUAUGACUUCAUUUCUUUCUUCAGUUUUUGCUAUAAAUAUUUUGAGGCUAGGUUAUU
rnacentral:lncRNA from 1 species